AGCGGGGUCAAGGGACAGCCACGCUGGGACGGAGGACGGGGACAGGGGAGCCCCUGCGGCGCCACUUCUUCCUCUCCGAGUCCUGUCUGCCCUUGAUGGAGCCACUGGUGGGGUUACUUGCUGGCGGUCGGCCACUUUCGCCCCUCCCUCGCCAGCCCGCCAGCUCCCUAAGGUUUUGUGGUUUUUUGUCACCACCACACCUCAGUGUUGAGCUAAGUGAGGACGUCCCCCCAGCAAAUGUAUUGGACGGAAGGAAACGGUGUGCGGGAGGAGGCGGAGGAAAGUAGGCCACCCGGGGCUCAAGUGGUGAGAAGAGGCAGCCAGGCAGGGUGGCAGGUGGGGUGUGGCCAGCUUGUUGGGUGUCCCACCCUGUGCUGUUGGGGGCGUGGAGGGUAGUGUGGGGUGGCCAGGGCGGGCUCAUGUCCUCAUCCCCCUCCUCUUUCCCAGAACCACACCCAAACCCUCUUCAACCCCCUGUGUGUGGGCUGUGGCAGGGGUCAACCUCUUGUGUUCAGGUCCCCUAGGGGCCCACCCCACUCUACUAGGAACCAGGGGUCGGAUGCUGUCAGGGGAAGCCGUGUGGCUUGAGGAGUCGAGACCCUUUCCAAAUCCACCCCUGUGGAAUCUUGAGCAAAUCCCCACACCCAACUUAGCUUCAAUGUGGUGGAGGUGGGCCCAGCGCCUCUCUUGAGGGAGUGCUGCUGUAGGUACCUUCCAGCAGGCCAGGCUCCUGAGCUGGGAUCACCAUGAAGCUGGCAUCUCUCCUGGUAGCACCUAUUCUGGGGCCUUGAGCUCCGACACUCUUACGCUGGAGUUGAACUUAAGCUGCAGCGGGAGGGCUUUAAGCUAGACCCGCAGAAUUUGAGCGCUAAGGACUUGCUUAAGAUUGGGAGAGUAACUUCUUCUGCAAGGGGGCCAGCAGAGGGGCUCUCGGGUUGAAGGAGGGUUAUGCUGGCCCAAGCAUUGCCAUCAUAGCCACAGCUGGGCUGUGCCUCAGAGUCUGCAGGAGCAGGGCCCUUGGCCUUGGCUCCCAGGACAGUUGGGAGAUGGAGGGCAGCCCCAGUAGCUGCCAUCUUCCUGUCAUCUACCCACACGUCUCCAGAUCUGUUUGCCUGCAUCAGGGCCUGACUCCUGCCCCACAUGGGCCUGUGUACCAUUCAAGAAGAAAGCUUAGCUGUCUCCAACCCCGGCAUUCCCACAAGGGAAAGCUUGAGAUCUGCUGAGGGAGGGUCCUGGGAAGAGGCCUUCUUCUGUUCUCCUGUACAGCAGAGGUGUUGGCAUGUGCACGUGUGUGUCUGCAUGUGUGUGCAUCUGUGAACAUCUGUCUGUGGCUCUCGUUCUGAGCACCUGUGUGUCUCUGCUUCUGCCUUGUUCUGUCUUGGCACCUCUGGGUGUCUGUAUGUCUUUUUCUAAUCCUGGCUUUCUUCUUGUGCUUCUCUGGGCCUCGUCUUUUCAUCUUUGUGUUUUUUGCUUACUGUAUUGUAAUAUCCAUUUCCAUGCUGGAAUUCUCCUACCAGACCAUGGACUCUGUGAGGGCAAAGACUGUCUUUUAUCUUCCCAUGUGUGCACAUAGUAGGAGCCUAGUACAUUUCUGUGGAGUAAAUGAAUGGAGAUCUGGCUCUGUUAAGAAUCCCUUAGUGUCUGUGUCUCUGGCUGCCUGACUUUCUGGGUCUCUGUGACCCUCAGAAGCUAGUUUUGUGGUUCUGUGUAGGGGUAUACCUGGUUUAUUCCCAUGCAUAUGUGUAUUUCUUGUGGUAGUUUUUCUCUCCUUGUCUAUGUCCGUUUCAGGUUUGUUGAUCUGCCUGAAUGUCUCUGCAUGUGGCCCCACAUCUCUCCUCAUGCCUGCUGGUCUCAGAGUAUAAUGGAUGCUGAGUCCAAAGCAGGUGUUUCCUGGGCAUUCGUGGCAGGGGAAUUGGACUUCCAAAUCUGCCCCCGCUCCACGUGGGUGAGCUUCUCCCAGACUCUCCAUCAUAAGAGGCUGUGAGCACCCGAAACUGAUCACCUUCUCAGCCUAGAAUGGGAGUGAGCUGUGGUCCUCUCCCUCUCUUCCUCUCACUGUGACCCCAAUCACAGCACCUGCCCUUCUCUAAUUGGCCGAUGUCAAUGGAAGGGGGAAGGGAAGGCUGAUGUCCAAGGAGGAAAUCCCAUUAGAGAACAAGCACCAAGCCCUGUGGAUUUCAGAAGAACUCCACCUCCACGGAGUCCUCAAAGAUCUUCUCCUGAACUCCGCACUCCCCAGCCUUGAGAGGAGACACAGGAGCUGGAGGAAGCAGCUUUAUCCCUCACUUUGUGGUUCAGUCCAGCCUGUUUUCCAAGGAGUAAAGGGCAGUGGAAGGAUAACUAAGAAAAUAAUAAUAACAAAUGAAAGCAUCUCUGUGGAGCUUCGAGAUGGUUUUGUGGUUUUGACAUCCUUGGUUUAUUGUGUCUGCUAUGCUUGUCAUUACAAGGAACUACAUCGUCUCUUUAGUGUGACCAACACAUGCUGGGUCCCUGCUAUGUGCCAAUCCAACCCUGUAAGAUGGAGGUCAUGACUAUUUCCAUUUUACAGAUGGGGAACUGUGGCUCAGAACCCAGAUCCCUUGACCCCAAGGCUCAUGAUUUUCCCGCAUGCCUUCCUGGGGAUGGCUCCAGCCGAUGGAGCCUGGGAUGAAGAGACCGACCAGCUCCCUGGACCACACCCUGUCCUUCUCCUUGUGGUUCCUUAGCUCUCCUUUCUUGUUGCUUCUGCCCUCAUCCUUUUCCUGAGUGGUCUCUCCUCAAGUGUGUGUCUGGUGCCCCAGGAAGCUCCUCUUUCACCCACCCCUCCACCACCUGCCCUGUUUGAUUUGACUUCAUUCAUCCGCUUGUCUAUUCAUCUACCUUUUUUCACCUAGCAAGCACUUGGCAGGCUUGGCCAGGCAUUGUGCUAGGCUCGGGUGUCCAGAGGUGAGGAAGACCUUUCAGAGCUCCCAAGCAAGAGAGGGCAGUACAUUCAAGGCCAAUACAUUGGGUUCGGCACUCCAAGGGCAGAGAAGAGAAACCAGCCUCCAACUUGGCCCUGUGAAAACUGGACUUUUCAUGUUGCACAUGACAAGGGUCCAGCCAGAAUGGCUAAAACAACCCACACUCUGGGGGCACC